AUACCUGUCACCAUUGUAUUGGAAGCUUGUGCAUUCUGUAGAGUAAGCGCAUUCAUUCUUCCCUGAUUUUAGAAAUCUAUCCACCACCCUUAUGUUGUCCUUCAUGAGUUCUUUGGCCAACUUGAUUUUCAGUAUUUAGCGGGCAGCUAGCAAUUUUAUGAUCCUUCUGACCACAUUUGAAACAAGCACCGAUAUUCCAAUAGCAAUCCUUGUCUGCAUGAUUUUUGCCACAUCUGGAGCACAGCUCACCAUCAAUCUGUUGAGUCUUAUUGUCUACUGCUCCCUUAGCUGAUCUUUUGAUGUUUUUAUUAUUCUGCCUUUGUGUAUCAUUUGAUUUUGCUCUCUUUCUUUGCUUUCUUUUCCUUUCCAUGCAUUCUUCAUUGACUUCCCUUUCAAUUAUCAGUGCUUUGUUUACCACAUCUGCAUAAGUUGUCAAUUCAUAUGGAAUCACUUAUUUUCGAAUUUCAGUUCUCAGUCCCAUCUAAAACUUGUGAACACGUUCUUGCUCACUAUCCACUAAUCUCGGAGCAAAUUUUGCUAACUCUAUAAAUUUUGCUUCAUAUUCAGUUACACUCAUAUCCUUUUGCUUCAAAUAAAUAAACUCUUGUUCUUGUCAUUCUACGGGGAGGCAUGAUAACCUUGUAGUAGUAAAACCUUAUUAGAUUCAUUGAUCUAUUUGUUAGGAUGGGUUUAUUAUGAUGCUCAUACUCUAAUGUCCCAAUAUUCUUAAUGUUUACCCACCUACACUCAUACUAUGUCAAAUUCUAUGUGUCAUAAUUUAUCCACUUAUGCUCUGAUACCAUAUUAAUUGUCACGCCCCCGACCCGAGAUUGUGAAUCGAGGGUCACGGCAACCGCUGCAUACUCAUGAAGAACUCUCUCCAUAAGCAUGCAAGGCAUCUCAUCACGAUAUCAAUGCAUCGCAGUGGAAUAAAUUCAAAUAAUU
rnacentral:lncRNA from 1 species